GGGAGGAAGGAAGAAGUGGGGGUGUUGGAUUUUGUUUUGUUUGUUUGUUUGGGAAAAAGGGUAGGAUUUAGUUGCUCAAAAGUUUGGAUUUUGGUGGAUGAGGAAGGAGUUGGAGAGGUGGGAGAUUUUGCAUUUUGUUGCUUAGGAAAGAGAAAGAGAAAGGGAGGUGAGGAGUGUGUGAAAAUGGGGGAAGAGUGGAGAGGGAGAUUGUGGUGGUGGUUAAGGUAGUUGAGGGGUUGGUUUAUUUUGCUUUUAGGAGAGGGUUAAGAGGGAA
rnacentral:lncRNA from 1 species